AUCCAGCUGACGAAUCCCAAAUAGGGCGAACGUGCGUCCUGAAU
rfam:Schistosoma mansoni, Puerto Rico, WGS project CABG01000000 data, contig: 0144